rnacentral:misc_RNA from 1 species
GUAAGGAUUCCCCUUGUAACCACUGAGGCAGUAACAGCGAUACCCGGGUGGAUUAUCAGAGUCACGGCACUCACUGUUAUCCUUACAUGCAUAAGCUGUUAUGUUCGUUCUAGCUUCUUCACAUGUCGUAUUUCUGAUUGACCAAUCAAGUACCACAGGGAACUCCUUUUUGUUUUGUAAAUUAACAAGAUCUAAUGUAGAAAAAUUAUACAUACCAUUUUCAACAACAAAGGCGUAGCUGCA